CCUACGGGUGGCAGCAGUGGGGAAUAUUGGACAAUGGGCGCAAGCCUGAUCCAGCCAUACCGCGUGGGUGAAGAAGGCCUUCGGGUUGUAAAGCCCUUUUGUUGGGAAAGCGGUACCCAAAGAAUAAGCACCGGCUAACUUCGUGCCAGCAGCCGCGGUAAUACGAAGGGUGCAAGCGUUACUCGGAAUUACUGGGCGUAAAGCGUGCGUAGGUGGUUGUUUAAGUCUGUCGUGAAAGCCCUGGGCUCAACCUGGGAAUUGCGAUGGAAACUGGGCGACUAGAGUGUGGCAGAGGAUAGUGGAAUUCCUGGUGUAGCAGUGAAAUGCGUAGAGAUCAGGAGGAACAUCCGUGGCGAAGGCGACUGUCUGGGCCAAACUGACACUGAGGCACGAAAGCGUGGGGAGCAAACAGGAUUAGAUACCCCAGUAGUC
rnacentral:rRNA from 1 species